GAUUUUCUCAUUUUCUUAUAAAGAAUAAUCAAGAGGAUCUGUUUGUGGUUGUAAAACGUAUGAAAUAUUGAGACAGCAGGAGUCACUAAGUGGAACAUGAAGAAUAUUAUCAUGCUGUAUGAGCCUCAGGAAAAGUUAAGGAGUCUCCAAAAGACAAACAGCUGUGCUUGAAAAUAAAGGGAGCAAAAAGAAAUUCAGACCUCUACUCUUCAGAGGCUGGCAAGGGAUGCCUUUUAAAGAUGAGUAUUUAAUUCUUAACAAUUUUAAGUGGCUUUGAAUUUCAGUAAACUGUAACCUUAAUAUGUCCUCUGCCACAGCACAUCAUCACACAUAGCUUGAGUUAGAAUUCCAAAAGGUGAUCACAUUUGAGAAGCACAGUUAAGAUCAAUUGAUCUUAACUGAAGAUUACACGAGCAAAAACAUUUUUUGUUUCUCCCUCAACUCCAUCCAGUUCAAAGGAAAAAAUAUACAUACAGCUGUGUUAAGAAACCCAUAGUGCUCACUGAGUAAGACUGACUUCUGCAGGUGCACUAACUUCUGAAAUUAUUUCAGUGGCACAGACAUAGCUACUAAUGCUGACUAUAUUGUCUGCCAGAGCAGACUGCCAAAAGAAACUACUGAGUUGCCCAUGCUUGGAAGCAGCAUUAAAAAAUACCCCUCCCUGCACUUUUGCUGGAAAGGAUUCAGAAGGAUAUGGGGCCAGACUUUGCUUAUGGUGUUACAUAAAAGUCCUCUAUUAUUUUAUAUUUGUCAACUGUUAUUUAUAUCAAGACAUCUCUGUCUGUUUAUGAGAAAGAUGGUGAAACUACAGGAAUGGUGGAACAAGAUCUGAGGUCUACCAGGCUCCAUUUUUACCAUGCUUCUGCUGCAUUCUUGACUUUACCCUGAUCCACGUAUAAUUCUGAGGACUCCCUUCUGGUAUAAAUGACACUCCUACAUAGUCCUGGGAGUCAUCUGCUUUCUGUUUUGCCAGCUCAUCUAUGUGAUAUUUGUCUUGCUCUGAACAGGUUGACCAAGGAACUGGUGUAGUCACCAUCCCUGGAGUUGUUCAAGAAACAAUUAGAUGUGGUACUCAGGGGCAUCAUUUAGUAGGCAGUAUUGGUGGUAGGUGGACUGUUGGACUAGAUGAAUUUAGAGGUAUUUUUCAGAUUCAGUGAUGAUUAAUGAUUCAGUGAUUCUGCAUCCAGUAUUUGAACAACAACUAAAAGUCAUAGUAAGUACUGUAGGUCUGAGCACAUUUAAAAUAUAACCUACAAAUGACUGAAAUGCCAAAACAGGUUGUGAGACUUGGGAUGCAUUACAUUCUCAUCCUCAAGCAUAUGCCAAGGCUGUGAAGUCACAAAGAAAUUCUUUGUUUCCUGGGACUUCAGGAUUCCAAAUGCAUAACCGCAGUUGGUCAGCCAGAAACAAUUUGCUGUGUGAUCUUUACUCUGUUCUGCUGCUUCACCAGGCAGAACUGCUUGUUGUCAUGAAAACAGUCAGAAGCCUGAAUGUGCCACGUGUGCUAUUCUUAAAUUUCUACGCUUUCAUAUUCAAAAUUAAGAUGUAUCUGGAAACACUGACCAGCAGCAGGCUGGGUGGGGAGGAUGAAGAGCAGACAGUUCAAUAGAUGUGCAACUGAAGCACUCUUCCUCCAAGAAAGGAAAUGCUAUCCUGAGGAAAAAAAAAAAAAAAAAAAAAAAAAAAAAACAAAAAAAAACCAGCCAAACAGUCUGUGUUUCUUGAGACUGGCUGUUAUUUAAAAAAAGAAAGUCAUCCUUCAAUAGCAUUGACAUAUAUUUACGAAUAUUUUCAUUUCUGUUAUUCUCUUGUUAUAAACAAGCAUUUUUGGAUAGCUAAAAUACAAGCCUUUAACCUUCUGAGUUUGAGAAAGAGAAUAAGAAACAGCUUUGAUAUUAGACAAACAGUGAUUUCUUUAUGAAGUAUUGAAAAAGGGACCAAAAAAAUCCAAACUCAAAAAUUUCCAUAUUCCUAUAAACUGAAACCAGGCAGUUUAAAAUUUGUGAUACUGGGGAGACUUAGUUCAAAAUGAUACAAACCAGAUGCAGUCAUGUUUUUGUGUGUCUGUUCAGACGUACAAAAUAUCUCUGAUAACCAAAUCUGACAGAGACAGCAAAUUCAGCAGUGUUAGGCUCCAUUAAGUCAGUGAAUAGGAGGAGAUACAAGUAAUGUUCUUAAUGAAAAGUUACAGAAUGAGUUUGACUGUCAUUAGAUACCAGAAUCCCAAUGCAGGAGAUCAUUACAAAUGCCCAAAUCAAAGAAAAACUUCAACAUGUUAUUAAGCUCUGGAACAUAACACUCCCUCCAGCCUUAGGACCCAGAGCAACAACAAGUGAGGUUGCAUGACCUGCUGACAGAAUUGGGUUUGUCUCUGCUAUUUCCAACAUCUGUGAUGUGAUGGAAUUUUAGGAACUGAAGUUCAGAUUUCCAACAGGGACAUACCCAGACAUAAGUGCAAACCCACUUGAAUGUGUGGGCAUCUCUAUUAAUAAACCUACUCAUUAAAUUGAAUAGGUUGUUGGCUCUUGUGUUUUCUGAGUCCAUAUGGAACUACUACUACUGGGCAAGAGCAGCACGAGCCACCAUAAUUUCUCUUUAAAUCCUUGGUUUAUUUUCUGUGUCUUAACAUUUUCAUUUUGAUGUUUAGACACAUAUACUUCUUGAAAGGGGAAUAUCUAAGCAGAAGGUUUACAUUGUAAGUUAAUGUGUGCUACUAUUUGCUCUGGAAGUUCUCGUGUUAUCGCAUCCGAGAACACAGAUUACAGCGUGUGAUUUACCUUUAUAAUCAACACUAAUUAGAACAACUCAAAUCCAAAUAAUGAACACACAUUCAGAUACUGCAGUAACAAUGCCUACAAUGCUAGAGAAAUGUAAAUAAUGCAGACUUCCUACCCUAGCCUUAACCACAGUCAGUUGUUAACAGUAAGGCACAGGUGAUGCUUUCAGAUAUGCUAAUCAGCUGUCAAACAGCAAGACUGUGUGCCAACAUCAUUUACUUAUUUAAACAAUAUGAGUUACGCGAACUAUUCUGCACAUCCACGUCAGCACUCUGCAUGACAAGGUUUUACAGCAAGACUGUUGUGUGUCAGUCUUGCUUGCCCAAAACUCCAAGCCGUUCCUUUCACAACAUGAUGAGGUUAUAUUCUCGCCUCUCUAGUAAAUUAAUGAUUGUGUAAUUCGCAUCUUCAUUUGCAUUGUCUGAGCACAAACAUUCUACAUUCUGUGCAGAAUGCUCUCAUUUAAAAGAUAUUUAUGUAUUGCUUUUAUCUAGUCUCAGCUGCGUUGUGUCUGAGGCUCUAAAUAAAGUCAGUUGCAAAAUAGACAAAAAUAGAUGGCAGGAAAAGAUAGUGUCAGACAAAUGUCACUAUUCCAGCCAUCUUUUUUCUCACUCGUCUGAAAUGUGGCAUGGUUGAAAUGCAAGGGAUAGCAGCAAAGAGUGAAAGAGCCAACAGGAAAGGGCUUGCAGGUGAAAUGUGCCAAGGUGGUUGCAGAGUGCCCUGUCCACCUUUACAAGAAUUAUAAAUCAUAGCAGUCUAACUGAAAAUAUUCCUGGAGCAAAUACUACAAGUCUAAACUAGGAUCUCAUGAUCACUUCAACCAUUCAUAUCAUGUUUUUAGUACACAUGGCUUAGCUGCCAAAAAUGCCAUUUGGCUUCACUCUUCCUAGAGAGAUGGAAGCAAGGAAUUCCUUCCAGCCUAAGUAAGUGAAUAAAGAAGUUUCUUUCAUUUCCUGAUCCUGUGUAGUGCUCUAAUUUGUACACUUAAGAAGGAUGCCUCCCUAAUCUGGACAUCACAAGUCAUGUUUUUAUAUCUUCCCUUCUGAUGUUCUUAGCGAAGUUUCUGGGGGAGUUAGUGAUUGUAUCCAGAUGGAGUUAGACCAGUUGUUUUUGUACAUUGGUCAUUAAUACGUUGAGUAUUAAUGCAGUAAUCAGCCAUGGCAGGUAGGAAAGAGAAGCCUCUGUAUGUUUUUCCCCCCACAGAAUUAUGAUGGUGCUUCAGCGUAAGGCUUUCUUUUGAUGACCAGCAAAAAUGAUACACAACUUGAUGGUGGCAACUGCCUUACAGCCUGUAUCCUCCUGAUGGUCUUGUCAAAAUCCACAUACAUAGUAUUUGUCUAAACUCUCUUCAGUCAUAUUUGCUGUGGUCUUUCUAUAUGAUUGCAAUGUAUUAGCAUGUACAUCUUGAAAGCACUGCACUUCAAAUUUACUGCAAUACCUCUUAGUCUGUACAACUGUGACUGAUCAAGACCAGCUACCUCUUACAAGAAUAGGAAUCCAACAGCCAGAAAAGAAAGCAACCUUAUAUUUUAAAAUAAUGCAACCUGAAUGCUGUAUUUUUUCUUUCAGUUAGGCCCCUGCAAUUGCUGCCUGUAAAUUCCUUUCAGUAAACCUAAAACUCUUACGGGAUCUUCUUAUCUCUGAGGCAUCAGAUCCUAAACCUCAGGAAAACAGCUGAAAUGUUGCUGACUUAAAAGAGCAGCGACUUCCACUUUUAAUUUCUCUCUCCUGUGCCUUGUACCAAGAAUGGAGAUGAAUAGCUGACCCAUUGCCUUUGCACUUAAUUGCAAGAUAAUUAAAUUGUGUUAUGUUGAAAGGAUGAAGUGAUGCAUACUAGGGAGAGGAAGGUGUGUCAUUUCCAAACCACACUGAAGUAUCAGACUCUUUGCAAAGUGACGCUCACCUGGGAUUAGUAUAGUAGCUCGUUAACUAAUGGAUUUUUCUGAUCUGUUGUUCUGUCCAGUUCUAUGAAUUUAAGAAUAAGUACUGAUCAUUAGAAUCUCUAUUGUGAAUAGAAAAUAAGAGAAAGAAAUGCUGUAAGUAGACUCUUUAAACAUAUUAGGGUAUUACGGACAAAACUAAAAGGUGGUGGUGUUUUUCCUUUUCUAAUGAUCAAUUAUAUUUUUCAGUAAAUAUAAUUCAAAAAAAUCCUAGGACUGCAAAACGAAAAACUGUAAGUACUAAUCAGCAAGUCGGACCUAUUGCUUCACCGCAGCAGAGGAAUUUCAGCCUAGAGUCCCUGCCUGUAUCCAACAGCCUGUUGUGCAAGGGGCUCUCUUCAUUCCUUAGCCAGUUGAUGAGCCAGUUCAAGCCUUUUAGAGUGACAAGGGACUGAAGGAAGGCUCUUCAAGUGUAUAUAAUACUCAACACAGUUUUUAUCAAAUGAAUCCCGAUAAAAUCUGAAAAGUAAUAAUUUGGACAUCGGUGAAUGUAUCUGCUGGGCAAAGAUCUUAGUCAUUCACAGUCCACGCUGCUUUUGUGUCAGCAUGCUGCAUUGUAUUGCUACAAACUGAUGGUUUCAGCUGCACUGCUCACCUUCUGUUUCAACAGCAAAGGCUGUUAAUGAAAAUGUUGUGCCAUCAGUGACUGGAGCCAAAAAGGAGAACUCCACAGCAUUGAUUCUCCCUCUUCCAGGAAGGAAAAAAAAAAAAAGCUUACCCACAGCUGACAUAACUGAACCAAAUGUGUCUGCAGGGAAUGUGUAGUUAAGGUACCAACAGAAACACGAGGUUUCCAUUAUGAACGGCUGUCUGGACCUGUCCUUUGCUGCCUCAGAAUUCCUCACUUGUUACCCAGCCUACUCUGCAAGCUCAAAACAGCUCUAGAUCAGACAUCUGACUGUUCCAUGGGAGCUCGUAAUGUCAUUAAACUCCUUGGCACUCUCUCUUUCUCCAGCCCACUCUUUCAGUGGAAAAAGAGAUUAUGUAUUCACACAUUUCCCCAUCGCCUUCCAGUCCAUGCUGUCUCCUAAUGAAACUCACUAAUGAAUUACUUUGGAAGAUAAGAACUUAAAAGUUUGACUAAACAUAAAGCCUCAAACCUGGAGUUGCUUGUAUUGUAAGAAUGUUUGAAAUCAAACUGAAACAUCACACAUCACCAUUGUCUAUAAAAUGGAUGCAAAAACUGCCUCUGUAGUGGUUCAAACAGAGCUUUUGAUGAAAGUUGACUUCAUCAAAAUGUUCCCAGUAAUGUUUCUGAUCCUUCAUGUAUUAAUUCAAAUGUUUUAAGUGGUAGAGCAUGCAAACAGGUAAUGAUGAAUUGUAUGUAUCUGGUGUGAAGGACAGCUGAAUUCCUGCUGGAAUUGUGAAACUUUGGCUCCCCGCACUGUUACCAGCACUUGCCUUAGUAACUGCAAAGAAAGAAUCACAUGACCCUAUGAAUCAGUCUUUUCUCUGUUGAUACAUCAAUGAUUUUUUUAUUAUUCUUUUCUAGUAAAAACAGAGAAAUGCUUGUCAAAGCAAAGCUUAUCGAAUUAAUUGAAGGUUGUCCCGCUAUGUAAAAUAACAGACUAAAGGAUUAUUCAUCUAAACUUAGACCUGUGCUUUAUUUAUCUGAAUUUUGAAAGAUGUUGAAAGUGAUCUGCCUCCAACUGAAGUCCAUAUACUUUGGCAUGAAUAGACGCUGAGGGUUCAGUUAUGACAUACUAUGCACACAGCAUCUCCCAGGAUUUGGAGACAAGAUGACAUCUUAUUUUGUUAGAAGUCAAGCAAACAAAAAAUAGGAAAGUUGCCCUUUGCUAUAACUAUGAAAUAUCUCUGUGAACUUUCAAAUUGUUUAAUCAACAGCCUCACAGAACACAACAUAUGUGAAAUGUGAUACUAGAGUUUAUAAGUGUAGCUUUAUAGCUGAGGGAAGCAGUUUAAUACUGAAAGUUUGCCAUAAGAAGAAAAGGAGUGGGAAUUUUACUUUUGUUUUUGACUCUGGAUGCGUUGUACCAGAAUGCAAGGUGGUACUGAAGUAGUUUAUGAGCAGCAUCAGUCAGUAACCAUACAGAGCAUCCAGCUUCAUGAAACAGGCAGUUCUGAGAAGUAACUUUAUGGGCUGGUAAUAAAACAGUAGGUCUGAUGCCUGACAUGAGCAGCUUCCAUUCAGGGUAUGCAUAAGUCUGUUGCAUACACUUCAGAAGAGUUUCUACCCAGAUUGUAAAGCCAUACUUCUCAUUUAAGCCUGGAUUCCAGUUUUACUUCUUAAUAACAGAACCAGAUUCCGUGAAGACAGAUGUGCUCAUAUUCUGAUGUGCACACUUUUACAGCAGGUCAACUUUUUAGAAAAUACAAGUAGUUCAACAUUCAACCCUUGCAAGUCUCAUUUUUUAUAUCCUAUGCUGUCAGUACUUUUCCUGUUUAUUUUGCAUCUCCUCAUCUAACAAUCUCCUUUAAGCACCCCAUACUUAGAAAGGAGUGGAUAACUUGCUCUUUUUUUAGUUUCAGCUUGCUUUUCAGUCUUUUCUACAUGUUAUUUCUUGGCUAUCUUAAUUAUUUUGUUAGCAGUGGAGUUAAUUCAUAGCUAUAUACACUGAGUUCUCUGAAUAUUAGAGAAUGUCCAAUCCAGUGUCUCAAGCUUUCUCCAAAAGCAUGUGUUUCCACCUUGGUCAUGCUCUAUACAAAAUAGGAAUGAUUGGUUAUUAAUGAGAUGUUGCAGACAGACGCCCUUAGGAUUGAUUCCUCCUUAGACAGACCUGCAAAGCAAUUUCACUCAGAGUCUGUGAAACUUCAGGCCUCAGCAGUUCAUAUGGUGGGAGCACACCAUGCAACAGGAGAGGCUACAGUAGAUAAGCAUCACUGCAAGAGCACUGUUUCUUUCAGCAUACCCCUGGGUACAGCUCAGAACCUGCAGUUUCUCCAUGUUCUAUGGUAUUUUUUUGCUGGACAUGUGCUUGCAAGGUCACAGACCAGUUAUGUCUGAUAUGUGGGACUGUGAUACAGGAGAGAGGCCAUGGCCUUUCUGGCAGUGAGCACUGGCAAUGAAUGAAGUGAGUAUGUGGUUGUGGAGGAGUACAGGUUAGCAUCCUGUUAUCCGAGUAUGGCUUUGGAUUUAGUAGCCAUAAUGUGAAGAUUUUACAUAGAACACAGACAUAUUUCAAAGAAGGCUUUGUCCAGGCUGUCUUGGAAUACAUAACUUUGAAAGCUUCUCUCUUUUCUUUGGAAAUGCAGGAACUAUCUGGAUUCAUUUAUCUUUUUUUCAAAGUGGUAUUGAAAGGAACAUCAUCACUGUUUUGGAAUUCAUAAAAUUGUACGUAUAUAUACAAACAUGGCUUCUUUAUUUAAUAUAACUGUUUGUCUUUGCAUGCCUUGCUCAUGUUUUCAUUGCUUCCCCUUACAGAAUAGUCUAGCCUUGCAACCACUUACGUUUCAGUGCAGAAUGUGGCUAGUAUGCAGGAAGGAUACUAUGGACAUACAAUGUCCAGCAGCCACCGCUUGCUCUAUAAAGCAGUUAAAAAGCAACUUGGAUGUGAAUUUGACUUACUGUUUUAUUGCCAGAGUAAGCACUUAAUGGAGGUUUUGAGAGCUAAAGGUCAUAUUCAUGUCGAGAUGCAAUUGCUCUAUAGGCAUACAAAUUGUAGUGAAAAGAUCUCUAUUACUUCUUAAAAUAUAAAUUAUUAGUGCCUCAGGCAUAUUUACUCAUGCUCUGCUACACUUUAUCAUUUAAGAAGCUAGCAGAUCUGCUCUUUAACAGCCUUGCUCAUUUGGGUCAGAAGAAGAACCUUUCUGGCUUGUUGAGAUGGUACUUCUCAUUCUGUGUACAAGAGAUUAGUUCAACAGACUGCCUGCCUAAAGCAGAGGGGCUAAUGAAAUACUCUGCAAAAUAAAUUUUUCUGUUGCCAAGGAUCUUCAGGAGAAGCUUUCUAGAUAGAUAGAAAAGUUCUGUACAGCAUAAUAGAAAAUGCAGUUUAUUUUAGGGCAUUACUUGACAUUCUAACAGACUAGCCCUGACACGCAAGUCUGUAGGCUGCCUCCAGAACUCUAAGCACGGGACAUCAUUUUCACUUGGAAAAGAUCACAGAAGUCCCCACCUGCUCUUAUUUCCUUUUAGAUUCUUGUUCAAUCUAAGUUCUAAGUCUGGGAACUAUAAAAUGA